rnacentral:rRNA from 1 species
UACAGAGGUCUCAAGCGUUGUUCGGAUUCAUUGGGCGUAAAGGGUGCGUAGGCGGCGCGGUAAGUCGGGUGUGAAAUCUCGGAGCUUAACUCCGAAACUGCAUUCGAUACUGCCGUGCUUGAGGACUGGAGAGGAGACUGGAAUUUACGGUGUAGCGGUGAAAUGCGUAGAUAUCGUAAGGAAGACCAGUGGCGAAGGCGGGUCUCUGGACAGUUCCUGACGCUGAGACGCGAAAGCGUGGGGAGCGAACAGG